UUUUUUUUUUUUUUUUUGUGUAUUUGAUUGGAGAAGUUUUCUUGACAUGAUGAUUGUCUUCAAUGCUAGAGCGGGCUCUUGCGAUUGCGAAGACGAUGUUGCAACAACUAUACAUCUUCGGCAACCACGUAGCUGUAUCAUGUCAUGUGUGGUAGUACUUGCAUUAAGUGUUUACAAUUGUGAAAAUAACAAUAAUGUGUAUUUAGACAGAAGAUUAUUCGGCUAAUUUUUCUUUUAACACAAUAUUGUUACACUUUUCAACGACGGUGAUAAAAUUAUAUAUGAUUGACGAGAUAAAAAAGUUGAUUGAAGAAAAAGCAUUUAUGCUGUGAAGUAAUCGAUUUUUUUUUAACAAAUAGUGCCCUAUCAGAAAGGGAGAUUGUUGUAAAUAAAUGGAUUUUGUCUCACAUUGGAAAAUCAAAGAGAUGGUAGCUGAGAUGGUUUCGCGUUCAUGAGAGGGAAGCUGAGUUGGGCCGAGUUCUGCUCUCUUAUGUCUUACAAGAAGUAAAAUUUACAUUUACAGAAAAGGAGGAUCAUAAUUUGCUCUAUCUUUCUUAUUACCGUGGAUAAAAAUAAAAAAUAAAAAUGUUGGGAGUCAGUCCAAUUCCGUGAGAAAAAAAGUAGGGAAAAAAGCGAAAAAAUGAACUCAAAUAUUAGUGGCCAUCUGAAAAGUCAAAAGUAACCAAGGAUUUUGUUGGGAGUAUAUAAAACAAUUUUUUUUUUUACUAUAUUUGUGUGUUUGAAGUGAGUUUCCUGCCUAAAUUGUGAAUAAGUCAGAAAACUUUGUUGUUUCUUCUUUCGUACAAGGUAUUGAAUAAAUUUGAUAAAUCUUGGGAUUUAAUUCAUAAUCAAAAAGGGCGAGGGACAAGGGAUCUCUAAAUGAAUGAAUCUUCGGACAAUUUAACUUUAAUUUGCUCAACUAUUUUCAACUAUAAAAGAAUUAUAAUUUCUACCUUCCAUGCAAUUAAGCUGUAAAUUUAAUGGAAAUAAUUUGAUUUUUGUGCAGUCAUGAAAUCAUUAAGUGGGAUUUGUGAGCUUCUGAGUGGAAAAAUCUUUUUACUUUCCUUGAAAUCAAUCUGCAAAUUCUGUAAAAGGGUUUUAAGCUAACAAUAACAUCACAAUUUACAACAUAGAAAAGUAGUAGAAGUCGAACUUCUAGAAAUGUAUUUUGCUUAUGUUCUUUUUAAUCAUGCUUAAUUGGUGAAUUGAUUUUCACUAUGUGGAUGUGGAUGUGCCGGAAUUAAUCUCUCCUGUGUAGUGGAACCACAUUAAAUUACAGAGCGCUCUUAUUUACUUAUUUUAUUUCCAUUUAUUUACUUUCUUUUUUUUUUUUGUUUAAAAAAGAAUCCAAACCUUGGAGGGGUAGGAGAAAAAUGGAUGGUUUAAAAGUUGAACUACAAACUUCAUGACAUUUUAGCUAAUGUGAUGUCUCUAUGGAUUAAGUUUCAAGGACACGGCAUGUAUAAUUUCAUGAAAUCACGAAUAUCAACAUAUGCUUAUGUAAUUGGUAGGAAUUCGAAACUCUUUUGGAUUCGAAACUCAUAGAAAUAGAAAUGACUACGAACUUGCAUCCUUCAAUUAUGAAUUAUUCUUGGAUUCGAAACUCAUGAAAAUAGAAAUGAUCAUGUUAGAAGAGCUUCCCCGCAUCGCAGACGAUAAGACAAACGCGGAUACAUGUGAUUUAUAAAAAAAAAGAUAAGAAAAGAAUUGCGAACAACGUACACGAAAUUAUACGUUCCCAUGUCGAAGUACUUUUACAGGGAGAGCCAUAGUUGGUCCCUGGGUCUAGUCCACCUAAUUCUUAGGCGUUCCUCUUCCAGUCCUUGGACAAGUGUCCGAAUUUGGUCAAGAUCAGUCCAAUCACCCUAACAGCAUUUAACGCUUUAUCAUUUCACAUAACCCAAAUCAUGCCACGGCGGUGUUUUACUGCAAGGUCAUAGCUCAUUCAAGAGUUAAUUAUGUCCUGGCCAAAUGACAGAGGCUUUGGGACCAAGUUGAAAUCCAAACAAGUUUUGCCACGGAAUCUUUCCUUUCCCCUUAUCAUAUUCCCACACAAAUUGUGAUUGAAUCAAUUUGGAAGAGAUGCAUUUUGUUUAUGUUAUUGUUUGUCCCCAGUUCCUUGCAGCUUCCACAUGCAAAGGAAGAGAGAAAAGGCAGGGCUAGGUUCAAUCCCUCCCACCCCCCAAACCUCAAAAAAAUGUCAGGAUACUCAUAUCUGACAACCUCCAAUUUAGAUACUACUAAUAAGAACCCAUAUAUAGCAUAUACUAAGCCACCACCCCAAUUGGCAGGCAGGAUUACUAUUUACUAGCUGAAUAACAAAUUGAAGCUAAGGGAAAGACAACUAGAUUUUCACAAUAAAUGCACUUAAUUUGACUCUUGUGCCUGAAUCACAAUUCCCAAAGAAUGCAUCUAUAUUGUAGGAGAGGCCAAACCUCAAGCAAAGUUUGAGAAAUAGAUGCCAAAAGGGGUGCUCUUCAUGCGACGCAGACACCCAUUAACACACACAAAUGACACCAUAGUGUAGUUAUUAAUGAGGAAACAACCCGGUGCCCUAUUCCCCACUAAAGAAGAAAUGAGGAUUUUCAAACUUUAUAGCAUACAUGCAUUGAUACCUGGAAAGAUCUUAACAGAUGAUUAUCAAUUGGUCUGUAUCUUCAUAUAAUUUGCUACAAACAUGUACAAAUUGAAACCACAUAAUAAUCAGAUUACUGCAACAAGGUCAUCGACCAGGAAUCCUAAACACCAAAACUUUUCAAAGUUUCUGUAGGUACCUCAUCGCUACCAAUGCUAAGAGCAAAGCUUAAUAUUUUCCAGAAAAUACUACUAUUAUAUUUAUUUGAAGGCAUUUUGAUGUAGAUAAAAGGUGACUCGAA
rnacentral:lncRNA from 1 species